ensembl:lncRNA
AAAAAAAAAAAAAAAAAAAAAAAAAAAAAAAACACUUCAUGCUUAAGUGGUCUCUGCUCCUUUUCUGGGUCCCUCUCUAGUGGAAAUCUUCUCCUGUAAGGGAUAGAAAACAAACAACCUUUCUCUGCUCCACCUUACUAACUUACUGUGUUCAUCUCAGGUUCCUGUCAUUAUUCAAAGUUGGUUCACAAUAUCAUAUCAGGCAAAAUGAUAAACCCUACUGCCACGUCUGCUUUGUUAAGCUCCUCAGCUAGACUCUGUACCGGUUUGCCAAUCUGUGUGUACAUGCCUCUACACUUUUAAUGUCUAAAUGCACAUCUGGAUGUAUGUGCACUUGUAUGUCUGUCUGCAUCUAUGAGUCAGUGGUUUUUCAGAAAAAAAAAAAAGGCGUUAAAGUGAAGAAUGUUUCCUGACUAUUAACUCCUGAUACUGGAGGGACUUUCCGGGUUGCCCAACCUCCUAGGUUUGGCCUUUUACACUUUUACUAAAAAAAUUUUAACCGAGCCCAAAGAGAUUUUUAUUUUGCUCCUGUGCUUGACAGGUUAAGCGAAGUUGUUUUUUGUUUUGUUUUGAAAUUUUUCCCUUCUGUGUGUGUGUGUGUACAUAAGUAAGAAUAUGAUAAUCAACAUAAGAUCCCUGGUUUGCAAAUGAUUUUCUGCCCCGCUGCAGGGCAACAUCAUGUGGUGGUGAGUCUAUGUUGGCUAGUUUAAUGCAAAUAUGUAACAGUUGCUUCAUUACAUUGCCCACUCAGAGUUGCGCAGUUUCAAAGUAUGUGGAGCGUUCAAUACACAUUUCUUGGCUAAUUAUUUUCCCAAUAAAAGUGAAAUCACACAUUGCAUUUGAUUUCACUUAUAUAUUAUCAUGUUCUGGGCUCUAUCCAUUAUAUUAACUUUAUUCAAUCUCAAUACUCUUUAUGUGUGUGAGCAACGCUUUUAGUCUUAUUAAACACAACCCAAGUAAAAUGCACACCAUCCCCAUGUCAGCCUAAAUCUCCGCUAAAAAGCACACUUCAAAGUUUUCUAUCUGGAUUUACGCCUCUUUUGGCCUCAAGCAUAUACAUAACAUGCAAGGGUUACUGUUAAUGCCCGUUAGACAAGUUUCCAUUAUCUACAACAUUUUGUUUCACCCGGCUCACCCUCACACAUUUCCUGUUCACUUAUUGCAUAUUUAUCUUUAACACCAUUUACCUCAGUAGUUGCUAAGCAGAAACAAAGCAACCUGUGGUCCACCUUUACCCUGUAAAAUAAACCCCUGUCAUGUUUGUGUCUGUAAGCAUGUUUUGCAUUCAUUCAUUACACUCCACGCCAUUCCUGCAAGUUAGGAGCUGUAAAGUUGAAAGCUGCAUCAAGUCCAGGCCUUUGGCCUGGCCUAUAUAUAAAUCAUGUGUGUUUGUAAGCGUGCAUGCAAUUCACCUGCUAUGUUCUCAUCUUCCCUCAAUGCACACUGUAAAGUGUAAAAGAUACAAUUAGCUUUCUCCUGGUAAAAGGUCCUACAUUAUUUUCUCUACCUUUGGAAACAUCCUCUAUCGAGUUAACCCAUUUCAUUUUUCAAACUUAGGCCUGAUUUCUUCGCCCCUUUAACGGGUAGCGCAUAUCCGGUCUGAACACUGUGUUUGGGCAAUUU